rnacentral:lncRNA from 13 species
CGUUAGAGAAUGUUGACCCCAUUUUGCAGGUGGGCAAAUUGAGGCUCAUAGAGAUUGAGUUAUUUGUUCAAGGUCACUGUCAGUAGGUGGUGAAAGUGGGAUUCCAAUCUGGCCCCAUCAUUUCUUCUCAUAGGUAAUAAUGCCUGGGACCUGGUUUUCGCUUCGUUGCUCAUGGACUCAGACCUCGGUGCUAAGAGUAUCAGGCUUCCCAUCCUAACAAUGUCACAUCUUACUGGAUGACCGACUGUGGCAGGACUUGUGAAUGUGAUGGGAUUUCACCAAGCUGAAGAGGCUACAUGUAGACCUUUCGUUGAUGAUUCUAGCUGAGUCCAGCCUUGCUGCCAUUUCCUCCAAGGUAACAGGUAUGUGAGUUAAAGUUGUUUGGGACACACAGACCAGACCAGCUUCCCACUUAAUAUACCAACUAACCUCAGUCGAUCCCAGGUAAGUGGAAGAAUUGUCUAGAUGAGCCUUGCCCCAAAUCUUGAUCCACAAAAUCAUGACAUUUAAUUAAAUGACUGUUAUUUUAAGCCACUAGGUUUUGUAGUAAUUUGUCUUGUGGGAAUAGAUG